AACGUAGGAGACAAACGUUAUCCGGAGUUACUGGGCGUAAAGGGCGUGUAGGCGGUUGGUUAAGUCUGGCGUGAAAGCUCUCGGCUAAACCGGGAGAGGUCGUUGGAUACUGGCCGACUAGAGGACGGUAGAGGCGUGUGGAAUUCCGGGUGUAGUGGUGAAAUGCGUAGAGAUCCGGAGGAACACCAGUGGCGAAGGCGACUACCUGGCCUGUUCUUGACGCUGAGGCGCGAAAGCUAGGGGAGCAAACGGG
rnacentral:rRNA from 1 species